AGCAGCCGCGGUAAUUCCAGCUCCAAUAGCGUAUAUUAAAGUUGUUGCAGUUAAAAAGCUCGUAGUUGAAUUUCGGGGUCAGUAGAUUGGUCGUGCCUCUGGUAUGUACUGGUCUUACUGGCUCCUCCUUCCUGAUGAACCGUAAUGCCAUUAAUUUGGUGUUGCGGGGAGACUGGACUGUUACUUUGAAAAAUUGAGUGUUUAAAGCAGGCUAACGCUUGAAUACAUUAGCAUGGAAUAAUGAAAUAGGACGUUCGAUCUUAUUUUGUUGGUUUCUAAGAUUGACGUAAUGAUUAAUAGGGAUAGUUGGGGGCAUUAGUAUUCAAUUGUCAGAGGUGAAAUUCUUGGAUUUAUUGAAGACUAACUACUGCGAAAGCAUUUGCCAAGGAUGUUUCAUUAAUCAAGAACGAAAGUUAGGGGAUCGAAGACGAUCAGAUACCGUCGUAGUCUUAACCAUAAACUAUGCCGACUAGGGAUCGGAUGAUGUUAAUUUUUAAUGUACUCAUUCGGCGCCUUAAC
rnacentral:rRNA from 1 species